GCAGCCCCUGGGUCUGUGCAGUGACCAGCCAAUCCCCCGGGAACUUUCCUCUCCAGCGCCAGGCAAAAUGAGACCUUGGAUCGCAGCUGUUUUCAUUGUAGCAGCUUUGGAAGGUGUCCGGUCUCAGGCGCAGCUGGUAGAGUCUGGUGGAGAUGUGAAAAAACCUGGAGACUCUCUCCGCCUCUCCUGCAAAGCCUCUGGCUUCACCUUCAGCAGCUAUCAAAUGGCUUGGGUCCGACAGGCCCCCGGGAAGGGGCUGGAGUGGGUUGCUCAGAUUAGCACGGAUGGAUCGAGCCAGUGGUAUUUGCCUGCUGUGAAAGGCCGAUUCACCAUCUCCAGGGACAACUCCAACAACCUGCUGUAUCUGCAACUGACCGGCCUGAAGCCCGAGGACACCGCCCGCUAUUACUGUGCGAGAGAGACACACACAGAUUAAGCCUGUGGAUGCUCGUACAAAAACCAGAGCUGCGGAACUUCCCGCGGCUGCCGCAUGGGGGCAGCAACGACACAAGCAAAACUCUCCUGCCUGGGGCGCAAGAGGGGGAGGGGCCUCAGGACUGAAAACUCCGACAUC